UGGGGAAUUUUGGACAAUGGGGGCAACCCUGAUCCAGCCAUGCCGCGUGUGCGGAGAAGGCCUUCGGGUUGUAAAGCACUUUUGGCAGGAACGAAACGGUUUGCGUUAAUACCGCGAACUAAUGACGGUACCUGCAGAAUAAGCACCGGCUAACUACGUGC
rnacentral:rRNA from 1 species